ACUCACACUAAUAUCAUUACUGCUACUACUACUACUACUACUACUACUACUACUACUACUACUACUACCACUACUUUUUCCAGUAAAAUGCGUCGAUAGGCGAUUGACGAGGGAAGCGGAGUGGAAGUGGAGGAACUCCCCUGCCAGCAAGAUUAUGGUGCCUGGGACGCACUUCACAUCAAUCCACCGUCCAGCUGAGUCACGAACCUGCCAAAAGUGAGGUACUGCACGAAUGACAAUGACAAGAGUCUCGACAGUUACACCAAGAAUACCCUCUUGGCUUUUCGUUUUAUCCUUCGUCAAGAACUAGGGGUGAUAGCAUAGGGGUGAUCAUUAGUAGCACCGAGCCUCCAGAGGCCGCCAGCACCACGAGUGCCACGACGAGGGUCUGGCGAUACUUACCCACACUGAGGGCGAGACAGGUCAUCAGCCUCCGAGAGAGGAGUUAAUACUGAGGUAUCCAUGCAUAUUCGUAUCUUUAGACCAACGAUUCUUAACUUCUUCUUGCUGUUUGAAGAAAGCAACACCAGUGGACAGCAUUUCAUUGAUCUGAAACAGUGAACCGCCAUUGCUACAGUAGUACCUUCUUUACAACCCCACCGGCAUCACCAUUUUCAACACCAACAUCACCCACGCAUGGAAGAGCCUGCAAACAUUCUUACCAGGU